AUUGAACGCUGGCGGCAGGCCUAACACAUGCAAGUCGAACGAGUGGCGGACGGGUGCGUUCUUUCUGGGAAACUGCCUGAUGGAGGGGUCUCACUACUGUAAACGGUAUCUAAUACCGCAUACCUUCAGACGUGCCCAGAGUGGUUUAGUUGGUUGCUGGGGUAACGGCUCACCAAGGCGACGAUCCCUAGCUGGUCUAAGAGGAUGACCAGCCACGCUGGAACUGGGACACGGUCCAGACUCCUAAGGGAGGCAGCAGUGGGGAAUAUUGCACAAUGGGCGCAAGCCUGAUGCAGCCGUGCCGAGUGUAUGAAGAAGGCCUGCGGGUUGUAAAGUACUGUCAGCGGGGAGGCGUUACCCGCAGAAGAAGCACAGGCUAACUCCGUGCCAGCAGCCGCGGUAAUUC
rnacentral:rRNA from 1 species